GCAUUUGUGAUCCAGCGGUAGAGUUCUUGCCUUCCAUGCAGAAGACCUGGGUUCCAUUCCCGGCCCAUGCA
rnacentral:tRNA from 1 species